rnacentral:rRNA from 1 species
AACGAACGCUGGCGGCAGGCCUAACACAUGCAAGUCGAGCGAGGACUUCGGUUCUAGCGGCGGACGGGUGAGUAACGCGUGGGAAUGUGCCCUUCUCUACGGAAUAGCCCUGGGAAACUGGGAGUAAUACCGUAUACGCCCUAUUGGGGAAAGAUUUAUCGGAGAAGGAUCAGCCCGCGUUGGAUUAGGUAGUUGGUGGGGUAAUGGCCUACCAAGCCGACGAUCCAUAGCUGGUUUGAGAGGAUGAUCAGCCACACUGGGACUGAGACACGGCCCAGACUCCUACGGGAGGCAGCAGUGGGGAAUCUUAGACAAGGGGGGCAACCCUGAUCUAGCCAUGCCGCGUGAGUGAUGAAGGCCUUAGGGUUGUAAAGCUCUUUCAGCGGGGAAGAUAAUGACGGUACCAGCAGAAGAAGCCCCGGCUACCUCCGG